GGAGUGAUUUUUUUAAGGAUAAAAAGAGAGGAGUAUCUUUGAUCUUGGAGUUCUAUACAUGACUUCUUUCAUAACUUCACUAGACUUCUUUCAUAUCAUUCAUGUGAUUACCUUCAAAUAUCAUAUAGCUCUUACUUCUUUUCGGAUGAGUAUAAUUUGAUUGAUUUCAUGAGAAUUUCCAUGUGCAUGCUUAUUCGACUAAUGGCGU
rnacentral:lncRNA from 1 species